ACGGUCCUAAGGUAGCGAAAUUCCUUGUCGGGUAAGUUCCGACCCGCACGAAAGGUGUAAUGAUCUGGGCACUGUCUCGACCAUAGACUCGGUGAAAUUUUAAUACCUGUGAAAAUGCAGGUUACCCGCGACAGGACGGAAAGACCCCGUGGAGCUUUACUGCAGCUUGAUAUUGGAAUUCGGUCAAUCAUGUAGAGAAUAGGUGGGAGAUGUUGAUACUUAAACGCCAGUUUAAGUGGAGUCGCCUUUGGAAUACCACCCUUGAUUAAUUGGAUUUCUAACCUGGUACCGUGAAUCCGGUAUAGGGACAGUGUCUGGUGGGCAGUUUGACUGGGGCGGUCGCCUCCCAAAGAGUAACGGAGGCGCUCAAAGGUUCCCUCAAAAUGGUUGGAAAUCAUUUGUAGAGUGUAAAGGUAUAAGGGAGCUUAACUGCGAGACCUACAAGUCAAGCAGAUGCGAAAGCAGGACUUAGUGAUCAGGCGAUUCAGUAUGGAAUGGUCGUCGCUUAACGGAUAAAAGUUACCCCGGGGAUAACAGGCUGAUACUACCCAAUAGUUCACAUAGACGGUAGUGUUUGGCACCUCGAUGUCGGCUCGUCACAUCCUGGAGGUGUAGUCGCUUCCAAGGGUUGGGCUGUUCGCCCAUUAAAGUGGCACGCGAGCUGGGUUCAGAACGUCGUGAGACAGUUCGGUCCCUAUCUGUUGUGGGCGCAGGAUAUUUGAGGAGCUCUGACUCUAGUACGAGAGGACCGGGUUGGACAUACCUCUGGUGAAUCAGUUGUGUCGCCAGAUGCACUGCUGAGUAGCUAUGUAUGGAUUGGAUAAGCGCUGAAAGCAUCUAAGCGCGAAGCCAGCUUCAAGAUGAGAUAUCCUUACAGGGUCGUUCGAGAUGAGAACGUUGAUAGGUUGCAGGUGUAUAGUCGGUGACGGCACAGCCGAGCAAUACUAAUUACCCGAAUGUUUACUUUA
rnacentral:rRNA from 1 species